UGGAUUCGCUAGUAAUCGCGCAUCAGCCACGGCGCGGUGAAUACGUUCCCGGGCCUUGUACACACCGCCCGUCAAGCCAUGGGAGCCGGGGGUGCCUGAAGGCCGUGACCGCGAGGAGCGGCCUAGGGUAAAACUGGUGACUGGGGCUAAGUCGUAACAAGGUACC
rnacentral:rRNA from 1 species